rnacentral:lncRNA from 1 species
CUGGGUUUAUACAGCCAAACCCUUGAAGCUUAUGUUAAAUGGACCUCUAGGUAAAGCAAAAUAUUGCAGUCUGCUCCACUGGGUUUAAUAGCCCCUCAAAAGAAAACAAGGAGAACAAAGCGGGAGGAAAUGAGCAUGAUCUUUACAGUCGGGGUAUUUGGAAAAAGCGACAGAAAUCAGCCGCAGAGAGCACGGAGUCACCUCUGCACUUCGCAAGCCAGCCGCGGUCGGCCCCAUGCCGUUUCUUUUCUUCCCGCUGGCGGUCGGUUUCUGCUUUUUGCUUUCUUUUUUUUCCUAACCCCGUGGGAAGACUUCUAGUCAUUUUAUAGCUGAAUUCAGUAGAAAAAUAAUGUUUAUUCACUUCACAGCCAAUUUGGGCAGAACACGUCUCUAUUCCAUAAAAUAACGCAUUGAUACAUUUAUGAGUCAGAAUUGCAGGCACCGUCCUUGCGUACCGUUGUGUUUCAGGCUGGAUAAAAUUAAAAUAUCACUUUCCUUUUUCUUUCCUGUGGAUUCGCUUGAGUUGCCCUCAUUAGGCGGAACUGGUGCUCUUGGGAGAAAUGCUGAGUUCAGAAUCAAGUCCUGGUAAAUCUAACGCCGUCAAGUUGCAGUGAGCCAAAAACGAGACACAAGGUGAAGGUGAAUGUUGCAGGAGAACCACGUAGAUAAAGACAAAGUUCAUGCUGCACGGGACCCAAUCGGCCUGAUACCACGCACAUUUGUUCCCCCAAAGGGAAGUGGUCAUCAUGGGCCCAGCCUGCCGCAGUGCCCCACUCCAGAAGGAGCACAGACCCGAGAGCGUGGGCUUCAGAAUCAGAUGAGCUGGGGCCUGCGCGAUUUACGUGACCUCCCUCACGCCCGUGUGCCUGCCUACAAACUGGAAAUAAAAACACCCACCUUGUGAGGUUAUAUUUUAAAGUGCCUGUCAAAUAGUAGGUGCUGAAUAAAUAUUA